rnacentral:rRNA from 1 species
CAGCAGCCGCGGGAAAACAGAGGGUGCGAGCGUUAAUCGGAUUUACUGGGCGUAAAGCGUGCGUAGGCGGCUUCUUAAGUCGGAUGUGAAAUCCCUGAGCUUAACUUAGGAAUUGCAUUCGAUACUGGGAAGCUAGAGUAUGGGAGAGGAUGGUAGAAUUCCAGGUGUAGCGGUGAAAUGCGUAGAGAUCUGGAGGAAUACCGAUGGCGAAGGCAGCCAUCUGGCCUAAUACUGACGCUGAGGUACGAAAGCAUGGGGAGCAAACAGGAUUAGAUCCCCUGUAGUCCCUGUCUCUUAUACA